CUCUAAUAAAUGUUUUAUCAAACAAUUACUUUUACUAUUUCGACUUUCGCACAUAGGAUAUGUUUAGGACGUCCUAACAUAAGAUGCGUUUGAGAUAGCUUCGAGACGCAACUUAAGAGUGUCCUUAGUCGAUCCUAAGUCCAUCCUAAAAUCGGUCUUAUCUACGACUUAGGACGAAUCUUAGGAUACUUCCGAGAGCACCACCCCU
rnacentral:lncRNA from 1 species